UAAUACCGGAUAAGAAAAGCAGAUCGCAUGAUCAGCUUUUAAAGGCGGCGUAAAGCUGUCGCUAUGGGGAUGGGCCCCGCGGUGCAUUAGCUAGUUGGCAAGGUAAAGGGCUUACCAAGGCGAUGAUGCAUAGCCCGAGUUGAGAGACUGAUCGGGCCACAUUGGGGACUGAGACACGGGCCCAAACUCCUACGGGAGGCAGCAGUAGGGAAUCUUCCACAAUGGACGCAAGUCUGAUGGAGCAAAUGCCGCGUGAGUGAAGAAGGUUUUCGGAUCGUAAAAGCUCUGUUGUUGGUGAAGAAGGAUAGAGGUAGUAACUGGCCUUUAUUUGACGGUAAUCAACCAGAAAGUCACGGGCUAACUACGUGCCAGCAGCCGGGGUAAAU
rnacentral:rRNA from 1 species